CCUGAAAAUCACUAAAGAACCCGACCUACGUGGCGGAACAGCGGAUUGAAUUUAUUGGCCAAUUAGCUUGCAAGGCCCACUGAAAUAUUUUGAAGCGGAAUAUACGAC